rnacentral:rRNA from 1 species
AUUGAACGCUGGCGGCAUGCUUUACACAUGCAAGUCGGACGAGUGGCGAACGGGUGAGUAACGCAUCGGAACGUACCGAGUAAUGGGGUAUACCUGUCCGAAAGGACAGCUAAUACCGCAUAUUAUUCGAGCGGCCGAUGUCGGAUUAGCUGGUUGGCGGGGUAAAGGCCCCCCCAGGCGACGAUCAGUAGCGGGUCUGAGAGGAUGAUCGGCCCCCAUGGGACGGAGACACGGCCCAGACUCCUACGGGAGGCAGCAGUGGGGAAUUUUGGACAAUGGGCGCAAGCCUGAUCCAGCCAUGCCGCGUGUCUGAAGAAGGCCUUCGGGUUGUAAAGGACUUUUGUCAGGGAAGCGGUACCUGAAGAAUAAGCACCGGCUAACUACGUGCCAGCAGCCGCGGUAAUAC